CAGUAGCCGCGGUAAUACGUAGGUGGCAAGCGUUGUCCGGAAUUAUUGGGCGUAAAGCGCGCGCAGGUGGUUUAAUAAGUCUGAUGUGAAAGCCCACGGCUCAACCGUGGAGGGUCAUUGGAAACUGUUAAACUUGAGUGCAGGAGAGAAAAGUAGAAUUCCUAGUGUAGCGGUGAAAUGCGUAGAGAUUAGGAGGAGCACCAGUGGCGAAGGCGGCUUUUUGGCCUGUAACUGACACUGAGGCGCGAAAGCGUGGGGAGCAAACAGGAUUAGAUACCCCUGUAGUCCCUGUCUCUUAUAC
rnacentral:rRNA from 1 species